rnacentral:rRNA from 1 species
CAGCAGCCGCGGUAAUACGUAGGGUGCGAGCGUUAAUCGGAAUUACUGGGCGUAAAGCGUGCGCAGGCGGUUAUAUAAGACAGAUGUGAAAUCCCCGGGCUCAACCUGGGACCUGCAUUUGUGACUGUAUAGCUAGAGUACGGUAGAGGGGGAUGGAAUUCCGCGUGUAGCAGUGAAAUGCGUAGAUAUGCGGAGGAACACCGAUGGCGAAGGCAAUCCCCUGGACCUGUACUGACGCUCAUGCACGAAAGCGUGGGGAGCAAACAGGAUUAGAGACCCCUGUAGUCCCUGUCUCUUAUAC